CAGAGUUGCAAGACUCCCUAAACCAUUGUGAACCUACCUUCUACCGUUGCUUCGGCGGGCGGGCCCAGCGCCCCCCCGGCCCCCCGCGGGCGCCCGCCGGAGGAUACCCAAACUCUUGACAUUAGCGGUAUCUCUGAGUAUAUACUGAAUAAGUUA
rnacentral:misc_RNA from 1 species